UACGUAGGGUGCAAGCGUUAAUCGGAAUUACUGGGCGUAAAGCGUGCGCAGGCGGUUGUGCAAGACCGAUGUGAAAUCCCCGGGCUUAACCUGGGAAUGGCAUUGGUGACUGUACGGCUAGAGUGUGUCAGAGGGGGGUAGAAUUCCACGUGGUAGCAGUGAAAUGCGUAGAGAUGUGGAGGAAUACCGAUGGCGAAGGCAGCCCCCUGGGAUAACACUGACGCCUCAUGCACGAAAGCGUGGGGAGCAAACAGGA
rnacentral:rRNA from 1 species